AGGCAAUACGCAAAAAGAUAGGACUUUCUAAGAAAGUCAGAAGCUGGUCUCCUGCAGGCACAGGAAGCCAUCAAAGUCAAAGUGGCCCAAGAACUUGCCAGUCAAGAUGAAAAACUUCUUCUAAUGGAAUCCAGCUUGAAAGCUACUCAAGAGCAGCUAACUGAGCAAAUAGCAGAAACAGUUCGCCAAGAACAGAACAGUAGAAAACCCCAGGCAGAGCUGAAGACAGUGACAGAAGGGAUUAUUGCUUCUGAAGAAGAAAAAAAUGAUUACAAAUCUUCCAUUUUACCAUCUGUUACAACUUCAUUGCAAAAGGUGUGAAAGAAGAGGGAAAUGAAAUUGGUAAAUAUUUUGAAGCCAGACUGAGAUAUUUGGCCAAGAUUCUAGAACAGUGGAACUAUUUUAAUCAAAGGAAAUCUUAUGUGGCCAAAAAAGAAAAUAACACGAAUUGUACUCUUUGAAGUAGAGUUAGUUGAUAAGCUUGGAAGGUGGAUCUCCCUCCCUCUCUCCGCAAUUCCCUGCUUUGGAAAGCACUGCCCUCUCCAGAAACCAUUGGAUCUGAAGAGUAUGUAUUGGAAAACCUCCCCUGAAUACCACAUGACGAACAACCAGAAGGUUUACACUACGGAAGACUGGAAAAUCAGAUCUGUGCGGGGAGACAAUGAAGACUAUGAAAACAAUUAGAAAAUAAGAAUAUGUUUGCAAAAAAAAAGUCAUAAGGAAAGAAAUUGAAAAAGAUUUGAAAGCACGGUAUUUCGUUUCUGUUAGUUUGUUAGCCAAGCAAAAUUACACACAUGACACAGGCUUCUUUCAACUUGAUGUGCCGAAUGGACGUGGUUAUGUCAUUAAACAAUGCAAUAAAAGGGAAAGAAACAUCAUGUUUUGCAGAUGAAGAAGAAAAAUAUUUGUUGGCUGGAGACGCUUGCAGAGUGUCUCUGGCAGAGAUGCGCCAUUGGCGUUUGAAAACAUGAGCACUCUGACUUGCUUUCUAUAAUGAAAAAUUUACUUACAUAACUUUAUGCUUUUUGAUCACUGUUCCAAUAAGGAAUUGUGUCCUUGGAGGCAUCUAAUAAUCAAAGAAUUACCUCAUUCACACGAUAGAACAAUCACUGGAAAAUAUAAUGGCUAAUUGGGAUUCUUGAAAUUAAACGUGGUGGUGGUAUUACUUGUGAAAGGAGACUAAAUGGUUCAUGAUUUUAAUUUUAAUCCUAAAGAAUGACUUUCUAAUAGUCAUAAAUGCCUUUCUUUCAAAGAGGUGAUAGACUUCCUGAAAAUGUUCAGUCUUAAUAAGGAUGCCUAUUUGGCAUGCAUGCUUGUCAAGGCAUUCAAGUAUCUGUGAAGUGGUUGACCCCCAAUUUGUAAGUUAUUUUGCAGUUUUCCAUAUCUGUCAGUCUAUGACCCCCCUUGACUUUUAAGCUGAAAUGUCGAUAUAUCAGAAAAACGGUAACUAUCCGGUUGCUAACUUUCUGUGGUCUCAACUUGAACUUUUCCCCACUGUCUCAGCUUACCCAUGCACCACCCACCACAGGACAAGUAUGCAAGUAAAUAGCCUACAAAGGAGAUGUAAUUUUCUAGUGCUGCAUUUCAUUUGUCUUCAGGUGACAUUGCAGUUCACCUCAUGGUCUAAGCUACCAACACGAGACUUAUCUCUAUUUCCCUCCAACCAUCUGACUUACCACAUUUCCUGAAGAUCUCCAGUGUCCACCCCUACCUAUCGCUUGUGAUUGACUUCCUUUUUCAGAUAAAAUUUAAGAUCCUCAGCAUGGAAAACCAAGUUGUUUGUAACCUGAUCCUGGUUAAUUGGUAGAGCAUCAUCUUUCACCACUUUUGCUAUGACAUGUUAUUUUCUAGCAAAAAGGACUUUCAGUUCCACAGACACACACACUGAGAACAAACAUAUCUGUGUCUUAAAGGCCUCGGUUCUUUUUCUAUAUAGAAAAUAUUUAAUCUACUUUCAACACUUGAUCAAAUCUUAACCAUUUUUCUCUAAUGACCUUUUUAUCCCAGUUCAAUACCUAAUAAAUCAUUACAUUGUCACAAAUAUAUAGUAAGUAUCUGUUGACCUUCAAAUAAUGCUACCUCUGAAGCAUCAUUGUAGAAAUAAAAUAUGAUGUACAUGUAUAAUUUUAAAUUUUCUAGGACUUAUGUUAAUAAAAGGCAAAAAAAGGAGGAGGUGAACCUAAUUUUAAUGACAUAUUUUAUUAAUUUUAAAUCUUAUUUCAAAAUAUAAUCAAUAUAAAAUUAUAAAUGAGACCUUUAAAAAUUUUAAUAUGGUCUUUAAAAUCUGGUGUGUAUUUUACAUUUACAGCACAUCUCGAUUUGUUCUAGCUAAAUUUAAGUACUCGAUAGCCUUAAUUAAGUACUCAAUAACAUGUGGCUAGUGGCUUUUAUAUCCACAAAGCAGCAACAGUAAUUGGUCAACCUUGGUUCACCAGUCAAAUCCAGUCCAAUAUCUGUGUGAUUUGGGAGCAAAGAUAGAUUCUCACAUUUUUAAAUUGUUGAAAAAGAUGAGAAAAAGAAUAUUUAUUGACACCUGAAAAUGAUAUGAAAUUCAAAUUUCAGACUCCUUAAUAAAGAUUUAUUAGAGCAUAGCCAUGCUCAUUUACUUAUAGAUUUUCUGUGGCAAAUUUCAUGCUAAAAAUGACAGAGUCAAUUACUUUUGAGUGGCUGUAUGACCCCAAAAGCUUAAAAUAUUUACCAUCUGGACCUUUACAGAAAAAGUUUGCUGACUUCUGCUUUAGAGGGUUCACUCUGCUAGGACCACGAUCACAUGCUAGUUGUCUUUGUUUGCACUCAACACAGGGCUGACACACAAAAGAGACUUAAUAAUUUCAGAAUAAAAUAUAUUUUAUAAAUCCAAUGAAAUGAACAUUUGUUGAACAACUACAGUCCUAAAACACAUCCUCUCUACCUAUAAAUCAUACCUUAAAAUUUUUCCAGUUCAAAAUAUGAUACCACCAGAACAGAGAAAUGAUAAAGCAGUCAAAAGCAGAAUUCUCAAUUCAGAUCUGAGUCCAAGCUCCAGUUUUGCCCCAUCUAUAAUCUGGAGUAAUUUAUUUACCUUCUGUAAUCCUUUCAUUCAGUAUCUGUAAAAUAGGGAAAAUAAUGCUGACCUCACAGGUUUGCAACAAUUAAGUGGAUGAUGCAUAUAAUAACAGUAUAGUGACUGAACAUGCUAAGUUUUCAAUAAAUGUUAUUUUUGUACAUAUAUCUGAAGUGUCCUAUUCUAAUUGACUCCUUUCAAUAGCCUUUAGUCACUGCUUUUGAAGAAAGUGAUACCUUAAUUAAUUUGUGUUUCAAAACUGUAAGUAUUCAUUUAGGAAAGUCUCACCACAACUAUAAAAAUAUUUUGGACACUAAAACAUAUCGUUAGACUAUUGGAGCUAGAUGAGUCCUUUAAAUGUAUAUACACACAUACUCUGUUUAAAUGGAAAUGAAGAAUAUCUUCAAAGGGAAAAGGGGGAUUUCUGUAUAAAGAACAUGAAAGAAAUAUUACUUAGAAAGCUUUAACCAUUUUAGAAUCAGAAACAAACAUGUUUUAGCAAUAUACUAUAUAGCUUUACCCUAGACCCGUAAAACAUUUAAGUCACAGUGUAAAAAUUCAUUAGUGAUGGUAAAUUGUUACAAAAUAUCGUUCUAUUUAAUAUUUUAAAAUUAUUCAAAUCACAUAGCUCCAUUUAUUUCCCUUGUUGAAAUGUUCCCGUAGCUGAAAAUAACUCUUUGGACAGUUAUGUUUCAUUUAGGUUUUAUGGCUCCUUGGAGUGAAGAGAGGAAGAGAGCUGUAAUUUUCUGGACGUAGAGAAUCGUUUGCUAUGGUAAACUGGAUAAAUGCUUGGGUUGCCUCAUGGGAGUAGCAUACAGAAGAGUAGCUGGUUCUAUUCUGCUGAGAUGCCAGGGUCUCCCUAUUCUUUCCAAAUCAGUGGCCUUAGAGGGAUCGUGAAUUGCUGAGGUAGAACAAUCCUUACUCCUCUUUAUCUCUCAUCUACUGCCUUUGAAAUCAACUGGAGCCGCAUACUUGGAAGCAGCACAGAGGGUAAGGCUGGAAAUAAAAAUAUGGCCUAGGAUUUGUGAUGCUCAAGUGACUCUGAUCCAUUUCUCCAAUAGCAGUAGGACUGAACUAAGCGAGACUUAUCACUGACACAUCGCAGUUCAUAGUGUUCUAAUUCAUUUUACAGAAGUAAUCCUAUUCCAGCUCUACCAUGACUCUUUUCAAUAGAACGUGUGCUUUGGCUUCAUUUGAAAUAAUUCUUCAUUAAGUUCAUAAUACCCGAUGUUAUCAGAUUAUGCAGAUACAGAAAGUGCCAGGCCUUCUUUGUGAGCAAAAUUAAAGUGGUUAAAAACACCUAUGAUAUGCAAUGCUCACGUGUCACGUAAAAUACACUCCCAACAUGCCAAAAUUUUCUCUUCCUUCAUUUAAGCAGUUUCUGGAAUUCUACACCUGUCUUUCUGACUAAAUAAAUAUGGGGAUAAACAAAACCAUUUGCUUCCUUAUUCUGCAUACAACAAAAUACACUUAUUCUUUCUUAUGUGUAGGAUUGAUAUUUUAAAGCUAAUGCUCUGCUUAGCACCUGUUCAAUUUUAUGGAUGCCCUGCACAUCUAAGGUACUGUAAACCUCAUAGAAAUCAUGCCCUGUGUCUACCUAAUUGGCUUAAUAUCAGUAUAUAUUAUUUUGUUUUGUAUUUAGAGGCUCUUCAUCAUCAAUUAUGAGGAUGUUGAUUUUACUCUUUCACCUAAAAUAAAAAAUAAAAAAGGAAACUAAAAUGUGUUGCAUGCAUUGGAACCAUACAUAAGGGAGCGAGAGAAUAAUUAUCACUGUAUAAUAUUUUACAAUGGAAUGUUUCAGAUUGUUACUGAAAUUAAAGUGUUGAUUUUACUUUUUUCUUUUUAAUUUGUAACACUAUGUUCCACUUUUAUAAAUUUACUUUAUGCAUCAAAAAUAGAUGGAAUUGUUUGAAAUAUUUAUUACCAUGAAUUGGUCACAAACAACACUAUGAAAUAAUUAUAUUGCCCUUAGCUUCCUUGGAUUUAGUGAUUUUUCUCCUACAAAAAAAAACAAUAUUCACAUGGUUUUAAAUGAGAGAAACCAGCCAUUUACUGAAGAGAGAAAUAAGAUAAAGGGUCCAAAAUUUAACUUCAUGCUACUGACAAACACAUAAUUGGUAUUAUAUUUUUGUCAAUAAUUUUAGUUAAAAAAAUACUCUGUAGUUUAUUUUAAAACUGUUACCGUGUAAAUAAUAUUUUAUUUAAGUGUAUAAUUAUACAUCAGUUUCAAUUCAAAAUAACAUAAUCUUUUGGAUUCUUUAGAGUCUAGUUACACACUGAGUAAGCAGUCUCUUGUUUUAAGUCAAACUUCUAUCACUAAUCAUGGAGGAACAAAGAUGUGUCCAAAUUUUGAAGGAACAUGGGUGUCCCAAAGCUCAGAUAAUGAAUUUUAGCUCUCUCUGGAGAAAAGCCUUUCCUGUAUGUAGCCUGGCAAUAUUCCAAGAUUUCUUUUUAAAAGUAACUCCAUAUGUGUACUGAAAAUAAGCUAGUGAUGUUUUAAAUCAACUGGAAAGAGAGGCUGUUCUUUUCAAUAUUUUUUUCCUGAGCAUAACUUUGAAGUGCAGCAUUUGGGGAUUAUGAAGGUUUGGGUUACCUGCUGAAUGAAGGCAUGGAAAAUUAUUUGAAAGUACCCUUUUUUUGAAAGUGUACUUUAAACUUAUGAAAUAUCACCUGUGGUUAAGAGAAGGUAUGCAAUUCAAAGCAUUUUUUUUAACCUAAAGACAAAGAGUUAAUUUUAAAUUGUGAUUAUAUUUUCCAAGUUUUCUAUGGCUACAAGAUCAUAAUCAAAAGUUUGCGGUUCACUUCUUUUUAAAGGCAAGGGAUGAUGGGGACGAGUAAGUGCUAUUGACUUAAAGAAAAUAUCGGUACGUUUAUAAUGAGUCGGGUACUGUGCGCAAAACUGAACCAAAGACUACAGCUCACUAUGCUCUAAUGAUUGUCUCACAGCAGGUAUUUUAAGUGAUUUCAUUUCCAAAUAAAUUCAACUUUCAUCUA